rnacentral:rRNA from 1 species
GGGUGAGUAAGAGGUGAGUAAUCUGCCUUUCAGAGGGGGAUACCUGUUGGAAACGACAGUUAAUACCGCAUAAAAUAAUUUUACCGCAUGAUAAAAUUAUCAAAGAUUUAUCGCUGAAAGAUGAGCUCGCGUCUGAUUAGCUAGUUGGUAAGGUAACGGCCUACCAAGGCAACGAUCAGUAGCCGGACUGAGAGGUUGGACGGCCACAUUGGGACUGAGACACGGCCCAGACUCCUACGGGAGGCAGCAGUGGGGAAUAUUGCACAAUGGAGGAAACUCUGAUGCAGCGAUGCCGCGUGAGGGAAGAAGGUUUUAGGAUUGUAAACCUCUGUCUUAGGGGACGAUAAUGACGGUACCCUAGGAGGAAGCUCCGGCUAACUACGUGCCAGCAGCCGCGGUAAUACGUAGGGAGCGAGCGUUGUCCGGAAUUACUGGGUGUAAAGGGAGUGUAGGCGGGACUGCAAGUCAGAUGUGAAAACUAUGGGCUUAACCCAUAGACUGCAUUUGAAACUGCGGUUCUUGAGUGAAGUAGAGGUAAGCGGAAUUCCUAGUGUAGCGGUGAAAUGCGUAGAUAUUAGGAGGAACAUCAGUGGCGAAGGCGGCUUACUGGGCUUUAACUGACGCUGAGGCUCGAAAGCGUGGGGAGCAAACAGGACUAGAUACCCUGGUAGUCCACGCUGUAAACGAUGAUUUACUAGGUGUGGGGGGACUGGCCCCUUCCGUGCCGCAGUUAACACAAAAAGUAUUCCACCUGGGGAGUACGCCCGCAAGGCUGAAACUCAAAGGAAUUGACGGGGGCCCGCACAAGCAGUGGAGUAUGUGGAUUAAUUCGAAGCAACGCGAAGAACCUUGCCAGGUCUUGACAUCGUAUGCAUAGCUCAGAGAUGAGUGAAAUCCCUUCGGGGACAUAUAGACAGGUGGUGCAUGGUUGUCGUCAGCUCGUGUCGUGAGAUGUUGGGUUAAGUCCCGCAACGAGCGCAACCCUUAUGUUUAGUUGCUACGCAAGAGCACUCUAGACAGACUGCCGUUGACAAAACGGAGGAAGGUGGGGAUGACGUCAAAUCAUCAUGCCCCUUAUGACCUGGGCCUCACACGUACUACAAUGGCUAUAAACAAAGUGAAGCAAGACAGUGAUGUGGAGCAAAACACAAAAAAUAGUCUUAGUUCGGAUUGUAGGCUGCAACCCGCCUACAUGAAGUCGGAAUUGCUAGUAAUCGCAGAUCAGCAUGCUGCGGUGAAUACGUUCCCGGGCCUUGCACA